UCCCUCUUGGCCUUUUCUUUCCUCAGUUGUUGUUGAGGAACGCACAACAGCUUAAUAACUCAUUUUACUCAUCAGGCAAGAAAAGACUGGCAGAGCCAUGAAGUCAUAAAAGUUGUUUUCCACCACUAUGGCUAACGCAGUGGCUGCCUGAGCUGGUUAAAGCGACAACAAUACAACUAAAUGAUCACCAUUCACUCACAUGAAAUUUUUGCUCGCACAAUCGCAACAAGUGGCCGCAUGUGUGAUCAUUUUGAUUGCAGUCUUCAGCCCUAUCUGUGCUGCCAGUGUGGACAUUGAUGCAAAGACUUCAGGCUCAGAAGAUGACAGACUGUCUAUCCAGCCAUCACACCAAGAGCUGAAGGGGUGAAAGCAGAGGCCAGUUGUGGACCAGCCUAUAAAGACAUCGCAUUGGGAAGAAGUUGGAGCAUCUGCAGAGAACCCACCCAGGUCCAGAGAGAACAUGAACUCCACACAGACAGAACCAGCAGGUUGGUGCUGUUAGCUGGUUGGUGCUGUUAGCUGACUGUGCUAAUCGCUGCAUCUGUGUCCAUUUUUUUUCUUAUAGGACGAAGAAACACUGAGAGGAACCCCAGGAUGAUCAAAAAUGGAAGAAUUAUGCCAAGAUGAGACGACAAAAAGCCCCAAACAGAAAAAGAAGAGUCAGACCAAGGAAAAGAAAGAAGAACGGCUUUGACUAAUUCCAAAGCACAAACAGCUGGUGGAGAGGCUCUGCUACAUUCCAGACGUCCCUCCUACUACCAAUGCUUUCCAGUUCUUCCUGGGGGAUCCUGAGGCAUUCACAGGCCAGACAAGAUAUAUAAUGCCUCCUGUUUUGAGUCUACUCCGUGGUCUCCUCCAAGACGGACGUGCUUGGAAAACUUCCAAAGGAAGUCUCCCAGAAGGCAUCCAAACCAGAAGUCCCAAUCACCUCAAAUGGCUCCUUUCGACGAAAAGGAGAAGUGACUCUACUCCAAGCUUCUUCUGGAUGUCCAAGCUUUUCACCCUGUCUCUAAGACUGAGCCCCACAGAGUAAACUUGUUUGGACCGCUCAUGCUUGCAGUCUCAUUCUUUCGGUCACUACCCAGAGGUCAUGACCAGUAGUGAGUGUUGGAAUGUAGAUGGACUGGUAAAUUGCUUGGUGAAGCAACUCCCCCACAAACCUGCAAGGAGCAUUCCACUGGUUUCCAGCAGAGAACCAUGGCCUUGGAGGUGCUGACUCACUACCCAGUCACUUUACACUUGGCUGCAAACUGCUCCAGUGCAUGCUAAUAGUCAUGGUCUGAUGAAGCCAACAGUACCAUGUCAUCUGCAAAAAGCAGAAAUGUGAUUAUGAGGUCCCCAAAUCAGACACUCUCCUCCAGGCCUGGAGUGGCUAAUCGGGAGGACCGGGACAAUUCCCGGUGGGCUGGUCUGAUGUUUGGGCCAUGAGGGCAGGUGUUCACUCAUGGCACUGGGUUGAUCAUUAUGUCCCAGGGCCGCCUCUACCUCCACUGGCAACUCUUCUCUUUUUUCUACUUUUUCUUUUUUUUGCAGAUGCACCCCGACGUAACACGUUCAUGCACACGGUCAGUGGUGUUUGAAAGAUGGAAAUAGAAAGAUGGAAAUAGAAAGAGCAAGGGUGGCACAGAGACGGCAAGAAUUAAAAAGAGGAAAGCUCUGGAAACAGACACAGCCAGAUGUGCUGACAUUAGAAACGUUGUCACUAAAACAAGCUCGUGGUUUGAAACGAGGACGAUGAAACGGUUACAGCAAGAUGUAGAACUUUGCAAACCGUUAAUUAUCAAGUCAGUGAAUUGUGUGGCAUUGUGGCAUCUAACAUAAAGUUAUUUAAUUUAAAGAAUAGUAUGAUGCUGGGAAACUUUGUCUUAUGAACACUUAUUUGCGUGAUAUUUGAUAAUGUGAUGUUGUAAAGAAUAGUGUUGGAGAUUUGCCCUUUAACUCAUGUUCUCAUAUUUGUGAAAUGUAAGUUGUCAUGGAAGUGUUUCCUUGCAGAGGAAAAAGAUUAUGGUGUUGUUAGAAAGUGCAACACUUUUUAUUUUAUUUUUAAAAUUUAAUAUUUAAUAUAUUGACUUUAAUUUCAUUUUUAAGGUUUGGAUAUCUGUGAACAAUUAUUUGAACAGAUUAUAGAUUCUGAUAUUGUUGUAAAGAAUAAUGUUGGAGAUGUGCACUCAUGUUGAAAUAAAUCCACAUUGUGAAGCAA